GUAGUCCUGGCUGUAAACGAUGUCGACUUGGAGGUUGUGCCCUUGAGGCGUGGCUUCCGGAGCUAACGCGUUAAGUCGACCGCCUGGGGAGUACGGCCGCAAGGUUAAAACUCAAAUGAAUUGACGGGGGCCCGCACAAGCGGUGGAGCAUGUGGUUUAAUUCGAUGCAACGCGAAGAACCUUACCUGGUCUUGACAUCCACGGAAGUUUUCAGAGAUGAGAAUGUGCCUUCGGGAACCGUGAGACAGGUGCUGCAUGGCUGUCGUCAGCUCGUGUUGUGAAAUGUUGGGUUAAGUCCCGCAACGAGCGCAACCCUUAUCCUUUGUUGCCAGCGGUCCGGCCGGGAACUCAAAGGAGACUGCCAGCGAUAAACUGGAGGAAGGUGGGGAUGACGUCAAGUCAUCAUGGCCCUUACGACCAGGGCUACACACGUGCUACAAUGGCGCAUACAAAGAGAAGCGACCUCGCGAGAGCAAGCGGACCUCAUAAAGUGCGUCGUAGUCCGGAUUGGAGUCUGCAACUCGACUCCAUGAAGUCGGAAUCGCUAGUAAUCGUGGAUCAGAAUGCCACGGUGAAUACGUUCCCGGGCCUUGUACACACCGCCCGUCACACCAUGGGAGCGGGUUGCAAAAGAAGUAGGUAGCUUAACCUUCGGGAGGGCGCUUACCACUUUGUGAUUCAUGACUGGGGUGAAGUCGUAACAAGGUAACCGUAGGGGAACCUGCGGCUGGAUCACCUCC
rnacentral:rRNA from 1 species